rnacentral:rRNA from 1 species
GCUGGCGGCAGGCUUAACACAUGCAAGUCGAGCGAUCCCUUCGGGGAUAGCGGCGGACGGGUGAGUAACGCGUGGGAACGUGCCCUUCACUACGGAAUAGCCCAUGGAAACGUGGAUUAAUACCGUAUACGCCCUUCGGGGGAAAGAAUUUCGGUGAGGGAUCGGCCCGCGUCUGAUUAGGUAGUUGGUGGGGUAAUGGCCUACCAAGCCGACGAUCAGUAGCUGGUUUUAGAGGAUGAUCAGCCACACUGGGACUGAGACACGGCCCAAACUCCUACGGGAGGCAGCAGUGGGGAAUCUUAGACAAUGGGGGCAACCCUGAUCUAGCCAUGCCGCGUGAGUGAUGAAGGUCUUACGAUCGUAAAGCUCUUUCGCCUGUGAUGACAAUGACAGUAACCGGUAAAGAAACCCCGGCUAACUCCGUGCCAGCAGCCGCGGUAAUACGGAGGGGGUUAGCGUUGUUCCGAAUUACUGGGCCUAAAGCGCGCGUAGGCGGACUGGAAAGUUGGGGGUGAAAUCCCGGGGCUCAACCCCGGAACUGCCUCCAAAACUAUCAGUCUAGAGUUCGAGAGAGGUGAGUGGAAUU